UACAUAGGGUGCGAGCGUUAAUCGGAAUUACUGGGCGUAAAGCGUGCGUAGACGGCUAUCUAAGUCGGGUGUGAAAGCCCCGGGCUCAACCUGGGAAUUGCAUUCGAGACUGAAUAGCUAGGGUACGGUAGAGGGAAGCGGAAUUUCCGGUGUAGCGGUGAAAUGCGUAGAUAUCGGAAGGAACAUCAGUGGCGAAAGCGGCUUCCUGGACCAGUACCGACGUUCAGGCACGAAAGCGUGGGGAGCAAACAGG
rnacentral:rRNA from 1 species